UUUGAGAAGGAAAUGCAAUUCAAUGAGAGUGCUAACAAGAAUGAGGUGGAGUUAUAUCUUAUGGAGGCAUUAGAGAAGAGUGGCGUGCAAUUCGACAUUCUAAAUUGGUGGAAAGUGAAUUCCACUAAAUUUCCAAUCCUUGGGCUGAUUGCAAGAGACGUCUUAGCCAUGCCAGUUUCCACAGUUGCUUCAGAAUCGGCAUUUAGUACUGGAGGAAGGGUGUUAAAUAAUUAUAGGAGUUCUCUAACACCGAUGACAGCUGAAGCGUUAAUUUGUACCCAAAAUUGGCUCCGAAACUCUCCAAAACUUGUCCUUGAGGAACUCAUCGAGGAAUUGGAGAAGUUGGAAUUAGAAGUUGCACCCACUCGUGAUCCCAAUGAAGAAGAUUCUGGUGUUGAGUCUGAUUAAAGUACAUCUUGUUAAGUUGUUAUGGUUGGUUUGCAUUAUGAAGUU